rnacentral:rRNA from 1 species
GACGAACGCUGGCGGCGUGCCUAAUACAUGCAAGUCGAGCGAGCGGAACUAACAGAUUUACCUCGGUAAUGACGUUAGGAAAGCGAGCGGCGGAUGGGUGAGUAACACGUGGGGAACCUGCCCCAUAGUCUGGGAUACCACUUGGAAACAGGUGCUAAUACCGGAUAAGAAAGCAGAUCGCAUGAUCAGCUUUUAAAAGGCGGCGUAAGCUGUCGCUAUGGGAUGGCGCCGCGGUGCAUUAGCUAGUUGGUAAGGUAAAGGCUUACCAAGGCGAUGAUGCAUAGACGAGUUGAGUGACUGAUCGGCCACAUUGGGACUGAGACACGGCCCAAACUCCUACGGGAGGGAGCAGUAGGGAAUCUUACACAAUGGACGCAAGUCUGAUGGAGCAACGCCGCGUGAGUGAAGAAGGUUUUCGGAUCGUAAAGCUGUGUUGUUGGUGAAGAAGGAUAGAGGUAGUAACUGGCCUUUAUUUGACGGUAAUCAACCAGAAAGUCACGGCUAACUACGUG